AUACGGAGGGUGCAAGCGUUACUCGGAAUCACUGGGCGUAAAGCGCGCGCAGGCGGCUAUUUAAGUUGGAUGUGAAAGCCUACGGCUCAACCGUAGAACUGCAUCCAAAACUAUUUAGCUAGAGUGUGGGAGAGGAAGAUGGAAUUAGUUGUGUAGGGGUAAAAUCCGUAGAGAUAACUAGGAAUACCAAAAGCGAAGGCAAUUUUCUGGAACACUACUGACGCUGAGGCGCGAAAGCGUGGGGAGCAAACAGGAUUAGAAACCCUAGUAGUCC
rnacentral:rRNA from 1 species